rnacentral:rRNA from 1 species
AGCGAACGCUGGCGGCAGGCCUAACACAUGCAAGUCGAGCGCCCAGCAAUGGGAGCGGCAGACGGGAGAGUAACACGUGGGAACGUGCCUUUUGGUUCGGAAUAACUCAGGGAAACUUGAGCUAAUACCGGAUAAGCCCUUACGGGGAAAGAUUUAUUGCCAAAAGAGCGGCCCGCGUCCGAUUAGCUAGUUGGUGAGGUAAUGGCUCACCAAGGCGACGAUCGGUAGCUGGUCNGAGAGGAUGACCAGCCUCAUUGGGACUGAGACACGGCCCAAACUCCUACGGGAGGCAGCAGUGGGGAAUAUUGGACAAUGGGCGCAAGCCUGAUCCAGCCAUGCCGCGUGAGUGAUGAAGGCCUUAGGGUUGUAAAGCUCUUUUAGCAGGGAAGAUAAU